GACGAACGCUGGCGGCGUGCUUAACACAUGCAGGUCGAACGGAAAGGCCCUGCUUUUGUGGGGUGCUCGAGUGGCGAACGGGUGAGUAACACGUGAGUAACCUGCCCUUGACUUUGGGAUAACUUCAGGAAACUGGGGCUAAUACCGGAUAGGAGCUCCUGCUGCAUGGUGGGGGUUGGAAAGUUUCGGCGGUUGGGGAUGGACUCGCGGCUUAUCAGCUUGUUGGUGGGGUAGUGGCUUACCAAGGCUUUGACGGGUAGCCGGCCUGAGAGGGUGACCGGCGACAUUGGGACUGAGAGACGGCCCAGACUGCUACGGGAGGCAGCAGUGGGGAAUAUUGCAGAAUGGGCGGAAGCCUGAUGCAGCAACGCCGGGUGCGGGAUGACGGCCUUCGGGUUGUAAACCGCUUUCGCCUGUGACGAAGAGUGAGUGACGGUAAUGGGUAAAGAAGCACCGGCUAACUACGUG
rnacentral:rRNA from 1 species